GUGGGGAAUAUUAGGCAAUGGGCGAAAGCCUGACCUAGCAACGCCGCGUGAAGGAAGAAGGCCUUCGGGUUGUAAACUUCUUUUAUGAGGGACGAAGGACGUGACGGUACCUCAUGAAUAAGCCACGGCUAACUACGUGCCAGCAGCCGCGGUAAUACGUAGGUGGCGAGCGUUGUCCGGAUUUACUGGGUGUAAAGGGCGCGUAGGCGGACUGGCAAGUCAGAUGUGAAAUACAGGGGCUCAACCCCUGAACUGCAUUUGAAACUGUUGGUCUUGAGUAUCGGAGAGGCAAGCGGAAUUCCUAGUGUAGCGGUGAAAUGCGUAGAUAUUAGGAGGAACACCAGUGGCGAAGGCGGCUUGCUGGACGACAACUGACGCUGAGGCGCGAAAGCGUGGGGAGCAAACAGGAUUAGAUACCCCUGUAGUCC
rnacentral:rRNA from 1 species